UACGUAGGUGGCAAGCGUUGUCCGGAUUUAUUGGGUUUAAAGGGUGCGUAGGCGGCCCCAUAAGUCAGUGCUGAAAUACUCUAGCUCAACUAGAGGGGUGGCAUUGAUACUGCGGGGCUUGAGUGGAGUCGAGGUAGGCGGAAUUGACGGUGUAGCGGUGAAAUGCGCAGAUAUCAGGAGGAACACCGGUGGCGAAGGCGGUUCUCUGGGAAUAUCCUGACGCUGAGGAGCGAAAGUGUGGGGAGCGAACAGG
rnacentral:rRNA from 1 species